ACACACACACACACACACAGAACCACCUCAGUGUGUGUGUAUUACUGUUUCUCAACACUUCUGUACCUGACACACACACACAGACAGAACCACCUCAGUGUGUGUGUAUUACUGUUUCUCAACACUUCUGUACCUGACACACACACACACACACACACACACACAGAACCACCUCAGUGUGUGUGUAUUACUGUUUCUCAACACUUCUGUACCUGACACACACACACAGACAGAACCACCUCAGUGUGUGUGUAUUACUGUUUCUCAACACUUCUGUACCUGACACACACACACACACACACACACACACACACACACACAGAACCACCUCAGAGUGAGUGUAACUGUUUCUCAACACUACUGUACCUGACACACACACACACACACAGAACCACCUCAGUGUGUGUGUAUUACUGUUUCUCAACACUACUGUACCUGACACACACACACACACACACAACCAUCUCAGUGUGUAUAUUACUGUUUCUCAACACUUCUGUACCUGACACACACACACACACACACACACACACACACACACACACACACACACACAGAACCACCUCAGAGUGAGUGUUACUGUUUCUCAACACUACUGUACCUGAGAAACACAAACACACACACACACGUGCACACUGAGAACCACCUCAGCACCUUGGUUGAAGGGGCUUAAAUAAACCACUCCUUCUUGCUCUCGUCGAUGGUCUCUGUGAAGGCGGGGUCGUUCACGAUGAUGGCGGCGUCAGCACAGUCCGCUGACUCCGCCCCCUUUGCUUCGUUGGUGUGGUACGAGCCCUUGUGGCGGAACAUGUGGCGCACCAGGAACACCAGCGUGCAGAGGAUGGAGAAGAUCACGACUGCAAUGAUGCCUGAACAACAGAUGACUUUAAAGGGUUCGAGGGGUCCGCUCCCAUCCGGAUCGAUCCAGUACGAGUCUGAGCGUCGACCCAGGUGCUUGUACUCCUCACAUGACUGCUCGUAGACCGCUGCACAAAAGCAGAGGCGUACAUGUGUGGCACGUCGCUCCGGUGUAUCCAGUUCCAUCGCACGAGCAUUUAAACACGUCUCCAGUCUGAGAACACCGGCCUCCGUGCUCACAGGGGUUCGGGACACAUCUGCAAGGAGAACAAAGUCGGCUUCUCAUUCUACACACAUGCUUACAAGCAUACGUAUCUAUGAAUUAGCACAGAAGUGCAAUAUUAUUAAGUGCAAUAUACUAAUUAUACUUUUAUUAAGAUUAUAUUAUGGCAGUACUGUAAUAUAUAUACAGUAUGUUUGGUUAUUUCCUUUCAUGUCAGUAAUACAAGCAUAAAAAAACAGUUUUGGGGUAGGAAUUGGUCUUAUAUAGGGAAUGAUCUUGUUAUAUAGUUAUAUAUUGUUGCAUUGUUGCAUGAAAAUAAUCAACAACAAGGUGGCAUGAUGUGGCCUGACGCAAUGUUAAUACCCCGAAGUGGAUUAUUUUCCUAUAACAGCACAUCCUGAAGUGUUUUAUUCCUUUUAUAACACAGCAAUUUGCCAGUUUCUAAUUUGUUAAUAAACAUCGCAUUAUAUUUUUUAUCCGGUUAUGAUUACAUUUAAUGUCGUGGAAUAUCCAUGAGACAAGCUAGUUCCCGUUAUCACUUUAUAUAGCAGCUAUAAUCCGUCGUUCCCUCACCAUCCUCUCUUUUGAAGUUAUUAACACAAAAAAAACGCAGCUUUUCACAUGACUAAGAAACUGGAAAGCACAAAGUCCUCCAUGAGGAAGACUUUCCCACGGGGGAAAACUUCCUGACUGUUACAAAGUGCUGACACUAGAGACUCCUUCUACAAACGUUAAUAAAAAAUGACUCCUGACAGAAAGUUUCACGAUAUCAAUGAUUGCCUUUGUUAAAUAAAAGCAAGCUUAUAUGCGCUGCUAAUUGCUUUAUAGAUCUUAAAAAUGUUUAUAAUGUUAAAUAUCACUUUAAACGAUACGUUUCAUUAUUUUUACGCUGUUAGCAUGGCGGCAUCUCAUCGAGUGGUAUAUAUGUUUGGGUUAUUGUGGUAAAAUGAUGUUUUUUCCCUGCCUGCUAACGUUUUCUUGUUAGCAAAUUUGGCAAAUCUGCAAACUGUACUUUUCAUGGAGACAUUGACUCAAAUGACUAAACGUUACUCCAUCAUUUAAGAUGUCAAUCUGUCCAAUUACUGUCAUUUACACAAAAUUACAAAAUUACACAAAUAUAUACAUCGUUUAUAUCGUUCCACUCUUAUAUGCUAGAUCAUUCGAGCUAGAUAUUCAGAGCAGAGCUUCAUUUCCCACAUGAAACUAAUAAGAUAUAAGUAAUAACUGUUCUACAUCAAAGAAUCCAAUUUUUUCGGUGUAUAAUUUCUGACAAGCUGUCACGGGCACUUAAACGCUGCCGUGUUCAAACAGCCCGUAGCUCUGUAGCUGUCGUGAUGAUGAAUGAGUAUGCAGGUGUAUACACGGGAUCAGUAUGGCCCAUAUUCUGCCCCAUAUGCCGGGCCCAGUUCCCUGCUGAGAUGCACUCUGGGAAUUAUAACUCCAAACUCCUGCACAGUAAAGGCAGUUUCAGAUCAACAGGCUGUUCUUGUCUGAUCCCGAGCAUCCCGAGGCAGUCGGGCUGAACAAACAGGGACGUGUUAGUAAAAGGAAGAGGGCUUUGAAGACGAGCUCCCGCUGAGCCGGAUCAGCGAGAUGAGAAGGACAGGCGGUUUGGCUUUGCUGCUAUGAACGCUCUUAAAUAAAAAAUCAGAAGGCCGCAAACUUCCACUAGUUAUGUAAAUCACUGUUCUGGGAUUUACAUAGAAAUCAGCGCUAAUGGAAUUCAACAGAAAUAUAUAAAAGACAAUAGAUAAUAAGAAAAAAGGUAGUACAAUGCUUCACGUCCAUCUUAUUCUGAGGUAACAUGCAAGGACUUAGCGUAAGAGUAAAACUAUGUACGGCUUAAAACUAGCAUUACGCAACAGUUAGAUCCACUAACUGACUGGACUUUUUUUUUUUUUUCAGAAUUCCUGUAUCGUUUUUGUAUCGUUGUUGCGUUUAUAUGUUUUAAUGAUUACUCGCUACAGUACUCAAAAAACAUUACACAACUGUUACACAAUCUCCAAUAAUUAAUAAGAUUAUAAGACAGUGGUUUCAAACCUAGGGGUCGUGACCCCAUGUGAGGUGUCGAUUUACAAAUGGGGCUUUGAGACUCACAAAGUCCGUUUUUGUUUUAUUAAUUUAUUUUAUAAAGCAAUAUUCUCUCUAAUUAUGGAUUUUGAAAUGCACACGUUUAAAUACCUGUAUAGAGUAAGUGCUAUUUUAUUCUUUUUUGGCUUUCCUGACACACUGCACUAGCAUAAGAGUUCAGCAAUAAAAACAGUGGAACAGGAGACAUUUAAGCACAAAAAUAUGCCAAAGCACACGAUAUGCUGAAUAUGAAUUUACAAGCAUGAUGGUAAAUAAUGUGGAGAAACCAAAAUACCUCAUUCCUCAAAUGUUACAGUAGUCCUAAAUUAGAAAUAUGGAAUAGAAAUACAUAUGGAAUAUGUAGAGUGGAAUAUGUAGAGUGGUCAAGCCUUGCGGGCGCAGAAAAUUCAUGACGUCCAUUGGGGGUCGUUUGGCUAAAAAGUUUGGGAACCCCUGUUAUCAGAUAGGAUUAACACCUUCUUAAUCUUAAUAGCAAAAACAGAGAGUAUAUAUAUAUAUAUACAUUUUAUACCCCAGUGCUGUUGAAUUCUCGAUUCUGAUUGGUCAGAAGGUGCUGAUUAUUUUUCUAGAACAGCAGCUCUGACAAUAGUGCCAGCUGCAAAGACAAAGCUCUCGUUCCACACAGGGACUUGUACGAUGGACGCUCAAGAAAUUUUAGCCUAAUUAACAUAUUUUUAAAAAUGACUGAGAGCUGUUACAAUGUAAGUAAUAACAGAAACUAAUUUUCUUCAUGGACAUUCCACAACAUUCUAUGAAAUGUAGCUAUAAAGGGAUAAAAAUUGCAAUGUCAUUGUUAAAUGAAUAAAAAAAAGUAAUUCUUCAUAAAUUGCUGUAGUAUAAACUGAAUAAAACACAGUUUGGUUAAGGAAAGUAACAACUCCAAGGUGGCACAGAGCAUCAUAUCAUAUCGUUGUUGAUUAUUUUCCUUUAAAGGCGUGUCAAUUCAUGUUUUAUACAUAAACAGCACUCAUACUCAUAUCCAGUUAUUUCCUGAAUCACCAAACAAAUAAUCAUGAUAAUUUUGGCAUUAAGGUGUUUUUGCAUAUUUAUGUCUUUGAAUACUAUCUCAAGCUAAAUGCUCCUUUUGCAUUACAAGAAAUACAAAAUAAAACCGUGAAUGUUUCCACACUCUUACACAACUUAAUCAUAUUACAUUGUUUCCCAUCAACCUGGUUUGAGAUAAUAAGCCUUAGGGUUUGGGAACGUAAAAAAAAGAUGUA